CUUAGCUGAUUUUUCUUCUUGCCUUAUACUGGGUUCUUUAACACCAGAACAAAAAUAAAUAAAUAAAAGAAUCUUCCAGAAAUUCAUGAAGAGACUUCAGGUCAGGAAAGCCUGAACUUUCUCAUCCAACACCUGUUCAAGUCGGAGGAUGCUGAUUAAUUCAUGAUGGAAAGGUAUCAAUUUCACAGCCCAGACCUCUACAUUCUUGAAAUGCUCUUCUCAUGGGAGACAUUAAAUAAGCUUUGAAUUAACUGAAUGUACAGGGUGUACCAUGAACAAUUCUGACAUGUGAUUUAAUCUAUGUGUGACUACAUUUUAAAUACAUUUGGGAAGGAUUGAACAAUGAAGUGGAGCCCAUCAAUAUUGGUACUGAAAAUGAGACAUAAGCCCUUAAGUAAAAGUGCCAUCAAAUGAUUUCUCAGAAAUUAUAAAGAAACAAAAGGACCAUAAACAAGAUAAGGUGGCAUGAGGAAACAUUACAAGUACCUUUCAGAGCUGACUGGCAAAGAAACUCCUGAGGUGAUGGUUCUACCCCAAUAUUACUUCUUCCAAGAGCAACCUAACUGACCUUGUAUUGAAGACAGCGUAACCCCCAAGAGGAAAGGAGCUUGGAGCCCUGAAUCAGAGUAGAAGACAGGCUGAAUGAAUACCAGCCUUGGACUGUUAUGUGAAUGAAAAACAAGUUUUGAGAUUUGUGUGGUUUAUUUAUUAUAGUUACUGUUAUUAUUAAAGUUUUUCACUGCUUUACUCU
rnacentral:antisense_RNA from 1 species